AUGGGUAUGAACGCGGUGGCGGCGGCGAGCGAGCGGGAGAACACACUGCUCUCCUUUGGCCGCGCUGCCGACCACGCGGCCGUCGCCAUGGUCGAGUUCGACGUCCAGCUUGGACUCUCGUCGGCUCGUCUCGCUUCCUUCGACUGUACUCUGCUGCGAUCUAUUGUGGUGACCCUUGUUUGCUCGAUGGGCGACGCUGGUUCAGUUUGUUUCGACUUGCCGUUGUCGCCUGCGUCGACGCGUGUGUCUUUCUGUCCUUCGCGUUCAGGUUGUACGAUCUCGCCCGUUGCUGCGUUCACGUUCUGCUCGUUGCUUCGUCUCUGUUUUACUCAUCAAGGAGAUGGCAGCAGUAUAUACAAAGUAUAUCACUGA
rnacentral:rRNA from 1 species